GGGGCCUGUAAAAGGAAAAUGUUAUGUUUUCCCUUCGCUUUCCUUCUCUGCUGUGAGCUUCAGCGUGGAGAUCUGGGGAGUGUUUCUUCUUCCAAAUUACCCUCCUGUAGAAUGCAUCGGCUGUCGAGUCUUUUCAUAUCUAGUGUUUGCAUUUCCCUUUGUAGCUGUGCUGCUUUCUCUUCUGUCACCCAAGGAAGCGCUUCAUUCGUUAAAUAAUCUAUUGCUCGAUAAUGAACUAUCGCCCAAAAGCUUUUCCAUAAGAAAUCUGAUGGGACGCAGUCUUGCGCGCGGUCUUCUCAUUCACUAAAGCGAAAAGAAACAUUAAUUGCAGAAUGAGACUUGGAACUGGCCUUAAGUGCAUGGCCAUCUAGUGGUUGUCAAGAAUCCCAAAAGCAUCUUAGAAAUACUAGCAGUGAGCCGAACUUUUACGUUUAGAAUCUGGCAAAAAAUGACCGGAAAAUUGAUACAAAUAGAGAAUGUUACGUUCUGAACUUUCCAGAUUCAGAACAUAAGCUAUGGACGUGAUCUAUCAAUCGAAUAUAGAAAGUUUUGGCCAUUUGAUUAUUUAAACUUUUAACUGACAAAAGUUGCUGAAAAUAUUACUAUUUGUUUUCUUAAGGGCUUCAUAGAAGCCCUUAAGAAAUUACCCUCCUGUAGAAUGCAUCGGCUGUCGAGUCUUUUCAUAUCUAGUGUUUGCAUUUCCCUUUGUAGCUGUGCUGCUUUCUCUUCUGUCACCCAAGGAAGCGCUUCAUUCGUUAAAUAAUCUAUUGCUCGAUAAUGUGUGUGUUGUACAAAUAUACUGAUGAGUGCUAAUUUAAAUCAAAUUGAAUAAUGCAUUAAAAGAAAUCUUUACUUUUUCAAACCAGGAGCAGUAAGUUCUAGCAUGCUUCUAGUCCUCUUCAAUUAAAAUGGAGGAAAUCAACCUAAAUGAAAAAACGAACCCUUUUCCUUGGAGUACUCCAAUAAAAAGCAAUCAGAAAAUCUGCACCUUGUUUCUGGCAUCCAUCAUUGGCUUCGGCACCAGGCUCAGACCCGAAUUGGGGGACAAGAAUGUUAACCAUAAACCAAUCAGCAGUAAGAUAUGACCUAGAAUUUCCUGUGUUAAUUAGCUAUGGUAUGAAAAAUGGUAUUGAAUCUUUGAUGUUAUCAAUAAAAGAUUGUAAAAGAUUCUUGCCUAGGCAUGCUUCUGAGACAACUGAACAGUUGUCAGCAAAAUACAAGUUAAUUCAAGUUAUCUAUUUCUGUCUUCAUUAACGAAUUUGCAAUCUAAUUUUAUCAUCCAAAAUUAGGCUUCUGGAAGCAUUUUUAGAAACCAAAAGGAAGAGGAAAAAUGUCCUGCAGAACAAUGCAAUGUUAAUACUAUAUAAACAAUCUAUCAAGAAUAGACAACCUCUUUACAGCAUAUCAUAUAUCUAUUCAUCCUGUUUAUUAAAUUCAUAUAAUAUAAUAAACAGGUUAAAAAAGGCAAAAAUACUCCAGCUGAUCUAGAAGAUCAAAUUUGUUGCUUGAUAUAAAACAACUUGUAGUUUACAUUUAUAAAUUAUUUUACU